rnacentral:lncRNA from 1 species
CCCACAGAGGACGGUCCUUCAGGAGUCACAGACAAUUUUGAGAUUUAAAAAUCCAGCAGAAAAGAUUUGGACUUGGGAAUAAAGUAGAAGCCUUGAAGACUGAAGGAUUCGUAACCAUUUAUUUAUCACUUUGUCAUUUCCAACUUCGUCAGACAUGUUUUUCUUUGGGAUUCAAUGUGGUGACUAACAACAUGGUUAUUUAAGUCAAAGACCUUGGGUUUGAAAAAUUACAGUAGAAAAGAAUUUCUGGUAAAAUGACUCCAAUUCACAUCUCUCUCUCUCAGACACACACACACACCCCACAAAGUUCAAAACACAAACAAAUACACUGAAGAAGAAAAAAAGGACAUACAAAAUAAAUGAAAUUUAUUGUUUAAUUUGUUUGUGUCUAAGAUAAUAUGUUUGGUAAGGACAUGAAGAUAAGCAAUGUAGAAAAAGUGAAAAAAAGAAAAAAGAGAAAAGAAGUGCCAACCUCUUCUAUUAGAAAUAAGGAGAGAUAGUUUGAGACAAAAAUCUUUCUUCCUUCCCCACUAAAGAUGUUUGGCCUUUUUAGUUCUCUUUUCUGAACACGGCUGUGGAGCAUCAGAUUCCACUGGUUCUCGCACCUUCCAUGCCCCCGCCCUCACCCACGCUUAUCUGAAUAUAUAAGCCUGCCCUUUGCUCAGAUUUAUGGGUCGGGCCAGGGCUGUGUGUAUUUACAGUGUUCUGACCUGAGGACCCUGGGCUGAAAGAGAAGAGGAGGAAACUGGGCCCAUUCCAUAAACAGAGACAGAUAGGAGGGGGAGGUAAAAGGCUUUGCUAGCACUUAACAUUUUUAACUAUUUGGCCAAGCUUAAGAAUUAGCGAUUAGAUUAGCAAGAAAACCCAGAGAUAUGGGUGCAGACGUUGGGGGGAGUCAAUUGUGUAUUUUUGCUUUAGUCUGGCUACUUGGAGGUUCUAGGCUGGGUGGGGGGAGGGGGUGGAUAGGAGUGGGGUUGGAUUUAAUGUGGAAGGUCCGAAAGAAAAUGGAUACGUCAGAUACAGAGGGAGCUAUAAAAUGCUUUGGGAAGACAGAGAGUCUACAAAAAUGAGGAUAUAAACAACAUUUAAUAAGUUGGAAAAUGUCUCCAACCACAAGUUGCACUCCUUGUGCGAAGCAGGGCUGCUUGCAUUUUUUACACUGUAAUUGGUUAGAGAAGAAAAAUCUCCCACUCCGUGCUUAAAUGAGAACACAUUGCCAUAGAUUACCAAAACCCAAUCAAUUUUGAGUUGAAAUAUUUUUCUCAGCGCCUGGUGGCCACUUGAAAGCAAUUCCAUUUUCAGACAGGGCCGCCUGGUAAAUGGGCCAUCCCUGUGCAAAGCCGCUGGCACACACACCAGUUCAAAUAGGAAGUACAGAUCGGUCGAAUCCUGAGCGGCCUUUGGCGCCCAAAAACUGCCCCUCCUUCCCCAGGGCCACAUCUUUGUGCCCGGGCAAAAUGUGAAGGCACAACUUGUGUUUGGGCUAUUCCCAAAUAAUUUACUUGCUGAAAAACUUGAGUUCACGUGGAAAAACUGACCCACAAGGCGACUAAAUUAGAAAUACUAUGGCAUCCUAAGUAAAGUAUCAUAUUCGUGGGAGGCCCCCAAGAGCAAAGCGACUGGGACAACAGAGUAAGUGACUCCUCUACAAAUCAGUUUACACUGGGAUGGUGCAAAGGGCUGUCACAGACAUGAAUUAAGCUGCUGUGAUUGGAGAAUUUGUGAAAUGUCCUCAAACUGUGUCUUUCUGCUCAUCAUCACUUUUGAUGUCUUUUCAAUCGUUCUUCCGUGAUGUUACCUAUUAACGCGUCUGCAGGAAUGAUGAUACUGUUUGGAAUUUUUUGCUUUAACUAAGUUAUGCUCUGGGUAAUGAAGAGGGUUAUUCUUACAGCCCACUCUACAUAGGUUUCUGUGAUUUGGACUGAAUUAUCACUAAUAACUGCAUGAGAAAAUGCAUGUACUUAGCACUGUGUGUGGCACUUCAUGAAUGUUAACGUGUUUGUUAUCUCAUAUAAUUCUAACGUUCUCUAUGAUUAUUAAAAUCACCAGUCAGAUAUCCAAAGUAAAUUCUAAAACUGAACUUUGAAAAAACUCACACAAAAGGCACUUCGAUGCAUUUUCCUUUCCAUUGAUGUUUGGCAUUUAAUGUUGAAAAAUUACACAUAAUAGUCAAAGCACUGGAGCUAAAGAAGGUAUUUGAUUAUUACUUGGGUAACUAUUGAUUAUUACCUGGGUGCAAGCCGACUAUGUAACAGUGAAAACUUGGGAAAAAAAAAAAAAAGAUGAAUGGGAAGGACUACCCUAACCAGGUUGCAUUUCUAAAGUAAAAUGAAAUACAUAAUAGUCUAGGAAACUAAUAUUUUAUUGCUAUUGUGUCUGAACUUUUCUUUAAAUAAUGAAACUUCUGCUUUGUAAAUAACGCAUGCUCAAAACAGAUGCAAUCACAUGAGGCAUAUUUAGGAGGAAUUUUGGGACAAUUACAUCACAGCUAAAAUCCUUUCCUUGUCAUUUCUGUUGAGAUCCAUUUGCUGGUGAAAUAAUUUUUUCUCUAAUAUGGUGUGGAUCAUAGCAACAGUGGGUUCAGAUGUAACCAUUUAGGAGCAGAGGCCUAGCUCAGUAUGCCAGAAAAAAAAAAAAAAAAAAAACACGCACCACAAAGAACAUUGAGAUGAAUGGCUCUAUUUUAUGAGCCAUAAAAGUUUUAUUCAUCUUGACACUGAAACAGGUUUAGGCAGUGAGUUGACACGCCUUAAAUAAAUAAGUGGAAUUAAUUCCCCAGCCCUUGAAACAAUAGCAGCAUGCACGUAGAACGGAGAAAUGCCCCAUUGUUUCCUGUGGCUGCCUGAUAUUGAUAUUAUUUGUGUUUUUCUGUGCUGCUGCCUCAGGGGCCUGGUUGAUCCACUUCAGAUUCAUCCCCUGUUUUAUUAGAGGUUGAAAAAGGUUCAAGACCUGUUUGUACCACAGCUCCCACCGACAGCUAAGGAACCAGUUUGGCGUCUGGUUUGUCUGUUGUUUUACUGCUGACCUUCAAAUCAACUUUAACCCCUGACCUCUGGAGGCAUCUAUCAUGACAAGAGGCUGUUUAACACAAAUGGUGCCCAUUUAUAGGGGAAGAGACUCAGAAGAUUUCCUUUUUAUGAAGAAUUUAGUUUUUCACCCCUCUUUUCUCAGUCACCACAGGUGAAAUCCCUCUUAGCAGCUGGCUUAUGAAAUAAUGUGAAGGGAGGCCUUAAUGAGCAGAAAGCACCCUCAGCUGGAGAUAAAUAUAUGCAAAUGAGAUGCACAAACAAAGGAGCCUGGACAGAGAAAUAUCUGCAAUUCCAGCAAAAUGCUGCCUGCAGCUCGAAGAUGAACAGCUUUGAUAAAAUGGUAACAAAAAGCACCUUUUUAUCCUCCAGCGUGUUUUACAUUGCAAUAGACCAUUGUCAUUGCAACCCAGUGGAGCAUGCAGAGGUUUUCUGCACUGUUUCAGAAAACUGUUUAAACAUUUGUUUUAAGGCAUUCAUGAAAUAUAAUCAAUGGACUGCUUCUCUGUUGUUGUUGUGAUUUUUUUUUUUUCUGAGUGUGUUUUAGAUGUUGCUGUAGUUAUUUUACCUGUUGGUCUUUUCGGGGUUUAACGCUGCUGUCUCGCUAUGCUAUUUCACUUUUCGGUGACUGUUCCCUCCACUGGCUAGAAUGACUUUUUUUUUUUUUAUUUCAAUGGAAAGAGAUUUCAAGUUAAUAACUAGUAAGAAUCGGCUUUGAGGAAGGGUUUGAACCAUCACGGAGCAGCACCCAAACAACUCGUUUUAAUGAUGGCAAUCAAGUGUGUAGAGCUAAUUCAGAGACAGGCACGGAACAUGCUGAUUUUAAUAAGCUUUCAAAAGGCAAUCUCUAACUUUUAAAAGUCUCUUUUUAAUUUAAUCGUCCUUGGUUCAUAUGAUGCCAAAACAAACAAAACCAUUAAAAUAUGUUUUCAAUAUGUAUCCGCAGUGUUAUUUGAUAGUGUUUUAAAUUAGCAUUGUGUUGGUAAAAUAUUGAUUUUGAUGAGCUUUAAAAAUGGAAGAGCUAAAAUCAUCAACCUAUUUGGGGGAAAAAGGAACAUUUUUCCUCUAAAAAGGAAUUAAGCCCCAGCCCCAGGAUCUUGCCAGAGAGAGGCUGGACCAUGACACGGAAAUUGCUGCGUUCGAGCAUACGUAUUACGUUUAGGUUAAUAAUCAAAGCGGUGAAGGUGAGAGAAGAAACACUAUCUAUACACUUCACAUGUGUCAAAACACUAUUGCCCUAAAAGCUCGGCAAGAUUUGGUUCUUUCAUUUAUAAUACAAUCCUAGCAUUCUGCGGUAGAGAUGUACGAGGGUCUUUACAUUUCCUUUGCCUAAAUUAUUUCAUCUCGGUUGCUUGCACUGGAGUAGAGACAUUUCUUCUGAGUACUGUGUAGCUUUCACAUUUUAUGUGCAUUUCAUCAGGCAAAUGUCAAAUUUGCUAAUAACAAGAAAAUCUCCUCAUUUUUAAUCAUGCCACUCCUGUUGCAUGGGGGUGGGGGGGUGGAAAAGGGGGUGGAGGAGGGAACAUAAAUGCAUUGAGCAGUCUGACCAAAAGAAGAAGGAGAAAAAUGCUUAUUUGGGUUUUAAAAUGACACAUGCUUGGUUCUAUCAAUGUCUGCAUCAGUGCAUCAUUAAAUUCAGGAUUUCAGGAGUUAAUAGAAACUUGGUUAUAUUAGGGAUGCUUUUCCAAGCCCAGGUUUGAAGCAGCAUAAUUAUGUUCAACUGCUGUUGUUUGGAAAGGGCGAACAGCAUCUUAGGCACAGAACAAUGAAAUUACAGCUGAGAUUUAGGUUAGCAAAAGCCGUCUUCUCCAGGCUUUUAUGAUUCAUUAUUUCCCAUUAAAUACAGUAUUAGAAGCAUACACUGGAUAGCUCAUGGUUGCUGCUCUCGGAGCACAUUAUCUAUAUUACACAGGUCUGGGGAGCAGAAUUAGAAAACUUUGGGGGAAUGAGCAAUAUGUGUUUGCUGAUAGAAGUACCAUAUGGCUCAUCUUCUUCAAUUGCUUUCAUUGCGACUCUGAUGCUGGAGAAAUUAAAGUUUUAUUUGAUGUGGCACAGCUUAAUGAACUGUCUUCUGUUAGGAAAAUUGAAUAUGUUUCCUGUUAUUUGAGCACAGAGCCUCCAUGGUUUGGCUGAUGAGGGAUGCAUUAUGUAUUGUUUAUUUAGCAUUUUGAAAACAAAAGCAAGAUAUUGAAGGUAAAAUUGAUUACUGCUGGAUUGCAUUAUAUAAUCAAGUUUUCUCCUUUUAAAUUUCCCUUCACAAUCCUUUUGUAGUGUUUUCAUAUGAGAUUGUUGCAUGGUUUUUUGUUUUUCAGAAAUACACAGGGCUUGGUUUUUAUCAAGAUACCUUUAUUUGUAAACAAGCCACAGGAAACUCUAAACUCAGUAGUGUUAUAUUUGUAAAGUUCGAAGGAGAAUGUUUGGAGAUAAUGAACAUAUUCAGCUUGUGUGAAUCUAAUUGCAAAACUUCCAGUUUACCCCCAGUUGGUUUAGGGAAUCCAACAUUUGCUAGUUGAAAGGGGGAUGUCAUUCUCUUUUGUCUGAAAGAGACCACUUCAGAACAUGCUGGGAGGGGCCAUAAGGAAGGGAAGAGUUUUUUAAUAUUUGGAAAUACAAACCUCAAAAUAUCAAAUGUAAGAUUUUUGAGUUAGUUGUAGGUAAGUGAAAAGACCACAUUCAACCUGUGAAUUAAAAGAAAAAAGGAAGCGUAUACACCAUGAAUUUAGAUUUUCUUUUUUUUUACUAAAUAAAUCGGAUUAAAGAAACCGAUCAAAAAUAUACUUACACGAUGAGAAAAUUGGCAUGUCAAUCCAUGUGAAUGGUCUCCAUUCCCUGAAAGAAUCUGCAAAGAGAUUCAUUUAGCAUUUUGUUUAAUGCUAAAUGUCCAUUUUUGUUUUGGAUCUGAUUGUUUUAGAAAUAUGAAAUCUGACUGAUCUGUAAAUGAUUUUACACCGAAUGUAAAAUCAUCUAAUUGCUGUUUCUCUCAUUUUCCAGUGAGAAACAAUCCUCAUAUGUGCUGAUGACUCAAGCACACGAAUCGGCAACAAGCAAGUAGGAUAAAAAAUAGUUAAAAUGAAUCAACAUUUAUCUGGAAGAUACAGUCCUGACCC